AAAAAUUUAGUUAAAAAAUAACAUUAGUUUGUCAAGCUAAAAUUAUUAGUAAUAAUAAUUUUUA
rnacentral:tRNA from 1 species